rnacentral:tRNA from 1 species
GGGGUUGUAGCUCAGUGGUAGAGCACUUGCCCAGCAUGUGAGAGGCACUGGGUUUGAUUCUCAGCACCACA